ensembl:lncRNA
GGGGUCCCCAGAGCCGGCACACCAAGUGGCACAAAGCAAGCUGAUGCUCAAGUGUCAGCCCUGUUCCGAGGGCUUUGCCCCUCACACAACCCUGUGAGGAAGGUCCUGUCACUCGCUCUGUUUUACAAAUGAGGCAGAGACACAGGAAGUGACUUGCCCAAUGUCACACGGUUAUUAGGUGCUGGAGAGGCACUCAAAGCCGGGUGGCCAGCUCUGAGAGUCCCAAGUAACCACUGUGCCUGCUGCUCAAAUGAACUGAAUUCAGUUGAAUGGAAAGUCAGGAAAGUGGCGAGCUUAAAAGAAGGCAGAAAAGGAUUUGGCUUAAUUCUACUCAUCUCCAAAAUAAAAGCCGAUUUGUUCGAUUCUCCCCUCCAUCUCAGCAGUGUCCAGCGACAUUUCCAUGAGUGCAGAGAGACAAACAUCCUCUCCUGCCCACUCUUCCCGAAUCCCCGCUCUGCAUCCACCUGCGUGCGUAGUGGAACCAGUCCCGGGACUGCAGACGCUCCAUAGACUGUGAGAGAGAACAAGUGGUCAUCACAGAGGUCAGCUCCGAGAUCCUGGAUAUGUGAAUGCCGGCAGCCCUGCCCACCACCCAUCCCUGCGGUCUUGUCCUGUCUGGGGCCCCCACCCAAGAGUGGAAGGCAGGCAGGCCCGAGGGUUUGCCUCAGCCUGACUCACCCAUAUCAACCUUUCACAGAGCGCUUCGGCAUGGUCUACUCCUAAUGCAUGGCUGGUGGGAAGCUCAGUCCACGACUUGGUGUGGUUACUCCAGGGACGUACUGGAAAGCACAGAUGUGUUCUGGCCAGAGGACCACACCUGCGUGCAGGGGCACGGGCGUCCCUUUCUGUUCUUAAAGACAUCUGCCUUGGUCAUACCAGAAUUCAGGCUCAGAGUAGGAUUGAAUGGCUCCAACUACUUUGAAGUUCGGCAUGGUCCUACAGCUUUUUUGACCAAUAGAAUACAGAAGUGGUAGGUGUCACUUCUGGGCAGGAGCUUCAAGAGAAGGGCGAGCUUCACCACGUUCCCCUCCCCGUGCUGUGGGGAAUGUGGAAGAAGGUGCACAGGGGAGCCGCCACCGCCCUGAGUCCCUGCAUGUCUGCAACCGGCAGAUCCCUUCCCAUGCCCAACAGACAUUCAAUGGGAUCAAGAAGUAAACUCUUGUUGUUUUAAGCCACUAAGUUUCGAUGGUUAUUUU